CUCAGCACGAACCAGCGCCUCUGGUAACCCUUGAUGUAGUUGGUCCAUUUGAAGAGCCAGCCCUCCCUGGCAGAACCGGACCCGGAGCUAGAGGAGCUGCUACCUGACUGGCCAUAU